CAGCGUCACGAGUGGCAAUCGUAUUUAUUGGGCCUAAAGCGUCCGUAGCCUGUUUAAUAAGUUUUUUGUGAAAUCGUUGCGCUUAACGUAACGUUGUGCAAAAAAUACUGUCAGACUUGGAACUGGGAAGAGCUAGAGGUAUUCUGGGGGGAGCGGUAAAAUGCUAUAAUCCUCGGAGGACCACCAGUGGCGAAGGCGUCUAGCUAGAACAGAUUCGACGGUGAGGGACGAAAGCCAGGGGAGCACAACGGAUUAGAUACCCGAGUAGUCC
rnacentral:rRNA from 1 species